rnacentral:rRNA from 1 species
UUGACGGGGACCCGCACAAGCGGUGGAUGAUGUGGUUUAAUUCGAUGCAACGCGAAAACCUUACCCACCUUUGACAUGGCAGGAAUCCUGAAGAGAUUUGGGAGUGCUCGCAAGGAGAACCGGAACACAGGUGCUGCAUGGCUGUCGUCAGCUCGUGUCGUGAGAUGUUGGGUUAAGUCCCGCAACGAGCGCAACCCUUGUCAUUAGUUGCCAUCAUUUGGUUGGGCACUCUAAUGAGACUGCCGGUGACAAACCGGAGGAAGGUGGGGAUGACGUCAAGUCCUCAUGGCCCUUAUGGGUAGGGCUUCACACGUCAUACAAUGGUCGGUACAGAGGGUUGCCAACCCGCGAGGGGGAGCUAAUCCCACAAAGCCGAUCGUAGUCCGGAUCGCAGUCUGCAACUCGACUGCGUGAAGUCGGAAUCGCUAGUAAUCGUGGAUCAGCAUGUCACGGUGAAUACGUUCCCGGGUCUU